rnacentral:rRNA from 1 species
AACGAACGCUGGCGGCAGGCUUAACACAUGCAAGUCGAGCGCCCCGCAAGGGGAGCGGCAGACGGGUGAGUAACGCGUGGGAAUCUACCCAUCCCUACGGAAUAGCUCCGGGAAACUGGAAUUAAUACCGUAUACGCCCUACGGGGGAAAGAUUUAUCGGGGAUGGAUGAGCCCGCGUUGGAUUAGCUAGUUGGCGGGGUAAAGGCCUACCAAGGCGACGAUCCAUAGCUGGUCUGAGAGGAUGAUCAGCCACAUUGGGACUGAGACACGGCCCAAACUCCUACGGGAGGCAGCAGGGGGGAGUAUUGGACAAGGGGGGCAACCCUGAUCCAGCCAUGCCGCGUGAGUGAUGAAGGCCUUAGGGUUGUAAAGCUCUUUCACCGGGGAAGAUAAUGACGGUACCCGGAGAAGAAGCCCCGGCUAACUUCGUGCCAGCCGCCGCCGUAA